CGGACGGGUGAGUAAUACUUAGGAAUCUGCCCAUUAGUGGGGGACAACUCGAGGAAACUCGAGCUAAUACCGCAUACGCCCUACGGGGGAAAGCGGAGGACCUAUCGGGGCUUCGCGCUAAUGGAUGAGCCUAAGUCGGAUUAGCUUGUUGGUGAGGUAAAGGCUCACCAAGGCGACGAUCCGUAGCUGGUCUGAGAGGACGAUCAGCCACACUGGGACUGAGACACGGACCAG
rnacentral:rRNA from 1 species